GAGAAAAUAAAUAAGAUUAAAUAGUCAAUUUUUAUCAUAGCAAAAAGACUUCAAGAAUAUCCAGAGGUAUAAUUGUUAUUGCUAACAAAAAUUCUUGAAGGGAUAUUAAACGUCAUGCUGUAGGGCUGUGAGGGACUACACCCUAUGUUCACACCCUCACACUAUUUGUAAUAAUCUUUAUACAAGGUAUGCCUUGUGAGAUAAUUUGAAAACUCAUAACUUGCUAAUCAUUAAUAUCAUGGUAAAAUGUGUAUAGCAGCUUUAUGCAUAAAAUAAAAAAAUUCCUCUAUAUGGUGAUAAAAAUACGUACUCACCUAGCACCAAACUAGUCAAACAGACCUGUCUUGAACAAAGGAGUGUAUGCUUGUCUUAAUUUGCAUUUAAGCAGUAAACAGUCAUCAGUCAGGAAGGGGGAAGGGAGAAAAACAGAGAGGUCACACAGGUGAAAAAGCCCAGCAGGGAACAUCCUUCUUCCAGCAGUCUGCCUGUCACCCUGUUCUCAGCUGAAAAUGUUUUUCGAAAUGGGAGUAAAAACUGUUUUAAACCAAAAAAAAAAAAAAAAAGUUGAACACCCCAAGACACUUUCUCUCUCUCUUUUUGUCUAUCUCAUUAUUCGCACCCCAGAAGAGAAAGGAAACAGCUGUUGGACUCUGGGGAAGGGAUCCUGACCUGAAGCAUUUGUUCACUAAUUCUGCUAGAAGCAUGUGCUGGUACCCCUGAAGAUCAACAAAGGAUGCCAAACCUUCCAAGGGAUUAAUAAUAAUAUGGGGAGACCUGUCUGGGAAUCAGAAAGCAUCAUGAGGUGGCUGUCAGCAGGGGAAGUUUUGGAUGUAUGACUUGCUUGUUUGAAGAUGUUCCAGUCUCAGAAUAGCUGAGCCCAGAUUUCACCGGCCAUGUGUAAAAGAG